rnacentral:rRNA from 1 species
CGGGAAGCCUGCUUCGAGAUGAGUAUUCCCACCUCCUUGAGAGGGUAAGGCUCCCAGUAGACGACUGGGUUGAUAGGCCGGAUAUGGAAGCACGGUAACGUGUGGAGUUGACCGGUACUAAUAGGCCGAGGGCUUGUCCUCAGUUG